UUCAGGUUUGUUAAAAUUUUGCACUGUAGGAUUUUGUGGGAUCGGCAGUCUGAUAGACUUCAUUCUCAUUUCAAUGCAGAUCGUUGGACCUUCUGAUGGCACUAGUUAUAUUAUAGAUUAUUAUGGAACAAGACUUACAAGACUGAGCAUUACCAAUGAAACGUUUAGAAAAACACAGAAGUACCCAUAGAUAGUUAGAGAACAACCCAGUGGUUUUGUGCCUCCUUGAUUUUAAAGAGAACUCCAGAGCGUGGAAUCCCAGGCUUUCUAAUUGUCCUUGUUUGCACAGCACGCUGCCGCUGCCGCCGUGGUUGCUUCAAUGUGGUUUUUACUGGAGAUUUUUUUUAGGUAUUUUAUUCCGAGAUUUGGCUGACUGAAGACUUUUUCUGAGAACACGUGGCCCUGGAGUCUUUCUAGGGCCUCUUGUCUCCUCUGGAGGGCUUAUCACUCCCCCACCCUACCCCUAUCCCAAAUGCCUUUUCCAUAGGCAAGUUGUGGCUUGUCACUUUUCCUUCUUCAAAAUAAAACUAGAAUAUCCUA